CGCGAAUAUGGAUUUAGUUGACCAUUCCAAUGUUUCAAAAUCCAUUCAAGUUUAAGUGAUACAAUCAAAAAGGCCAAAACUAAAACUACAAGAAAUUAUAUUUAAUUAAGUUACUAAUCCAUGAUUUCCUCAUACCACAGCUUGGCCUUACCUCACAAUACAACACAAGGAUAAAACACUUUACCCUUUGCAAAAGGAGGGUUAGGAGACUAAUAUCAACAAGUUAACCCCCACAAUAAGACACUAAUCUAUAUUAAGCUAGCAAAAAAGUUUGUCUCAUAAUAUUUCAAUCUAAUUGAUGGCAUUUGACCUUUAUCCAAAUAGAAAGGCCCUUUUGCCCUUGCUGGAAGAUGUUGAAAGGAGUCGAAAGAAAUUUUUUUUUGACUGUUCAUAGCCUGUUUUACCAGGUGAUCCGCUACAUCGUUAGCCUCUCUAAAGUAGUGAGUUGCUUUAACAUUAGCUUGUUUCAUUCUUUGUUGUAUCUCCUCAAUGAUGAAAUUCAGCAUGUAGUUGGAUUACUGGUUGUUCAAAAUCAUAGGAAAUAGGUUCAAAGAGUCUCUCUUUGGUGAAAUUCUUCAGAUUUUUCAAAAUGCAGAGGCUCUUAGUCCAAAACUGGCAGCCUUAGCUUCUGCUUCUGUGAUGCUGCUACCACUCGAAGGUGAGGAGAAAGCGAAGAUGAGAUUGCCUCUAUCAUCCCUCAAAACUCCCCUCAUACCAAAUUUUCCACUAGCUGAGCAGUAGCUUCCGUCAGUUUUCAAUUUAAUGACGCCAUUUUCAGGGAACUUCCAGCAUACAAUAGAAAGGUUUGAGGCAGGUUUCAGCUUCACAAAUUUUUCACAAAGAGUGAUCCAAAGUUAUGUCGAACCAACUUUUGGAUAGCUUUAGCAAUUGUACUCUGAAUGCUGCACCCAAUGAGUUGGAUCAUCAUAUAUCUGUUGAGAUUCCUUAAGCCUCCAUAAUUACUACGCUCGGACCUUUGAUUCUAAAUCUCCAAGCAGAUAAGGCCUGGUAUAGUUUGAAGAACUAGCGUGUCGGUGGAGUUAUUUGAUUUUUGAUUCCACCAGUUGUAAGUUCUGAUUGCCAGUGGCCCUCCAAAGUGCUUCCACACAUAUUGAGCUGCCUCUCCAUGAAGAAAAACAUGUUGCAUUUGAUUUUCAAUUUAGGAAGAGAGCAGCAGUUGCAUAGAGUAUCCUUCAGAAUACCAAAUAUGCUAAUGACUUAGUCAAAGGAAAAUUUUCACUGCCAGAAUUUCCAAACGAAAAAUGAAAUCUUAAAAGGAAUGUUGGAGUUCCAUACCUGAUCAAUAUUGUGGUCUGUUAGAAUAUUUCCCAUCUUCUGUGAGGUCCCAAAAGACCUUAUCUUGAGUGUCAUACUUGCCAAUUCCAAUGGUCUUGAUAUAUUGAAUUGUGCUAUCUCAUAGGAUGUUCUGCAUCUUUGCAUUAUCCCAAGUUCCAUUGGUAAUGAAAUGUCUUACUAGAGUCUCGGUAUUUUUCUCUGUUUCAUGGUAAUCAUUGGCUAGAGGACCUUUGCUACUCCAGUUGUCCCACCAAAAACUACAAUUUCCAGAAGGGUAGUAAUCAGAAAAGAAAAUUGUGGAGAUAGUAUAAACCAAGUAUUGGUGUUGUCAAAGACUCAGAAGCGAGGUGCAAAACAGUUCGAGUGCUUCACCCUCACUUAGUUGGCGCUUCAGUGCAGCCACAAAGGUACUAAAGCAUACACCUUAUCACCAAUGGGCUUUAUCCUUGCACGUAAAUUUCUAAAUUCUUUUAUCCUUACUAUAAUUUUCAUUUGUACAAUAAAUUUCUAAGUGCAAUAAUUUGGUUUCACAAGAAUGGUUUUGAUCUCAAUCUGAUUAGUUAUACACUUCUGAUUAAAGGAUAUUCAACUUUUGGCGAUCUUGUAGAGGUUGUUUAAGGAGAUAGAGCCAAAUUUUCAUUUAUACACCUCCAUAAUUAGUGGUUAGAGUAAGUUAGGUAAUGUUAUGAAGGAAUUUUCAACGUUUGUUGAAAUGGUGGAGAGAGGCCUCAUUCCUGAUGGUCACACAUAUGGAGCUUUGAUAAAUGGCUUCUGCAAGGAGCUGAAGUUUUACAAAAUGAGAUGCAAGGCAAGGACAUUAGCAUAGACCGGGUCAUAUUUAAUACGAUGAUGGAUGGUUAUUGUAAGCAAGAUAAUGUGGAUGAAGCACUGAGGCUACAUACAAUUAUGGAGGGUGAAGGACAUCAGCCUGAUGCAAAUGCUUACAAUAUAAUUGCUACGAGCCUGCUUAAGCUAGAAUUGUAUGAUGAAGCAAAAAUGUUGUUGCUCUCAAUGGUGGAUCGAGGUGUAGCUCUAGAUACAAUUAGUUAUACAACUUUGAUCGAUAUUUAUUGCAAGGAGGGAAAUUUUGUGGAAGCAAAAAGGGCACUUAUUGAGAUGGAAACUAAGGCAAUUAAGCCUAACACGGCAACAUACACUCCACUGGUAGAUGGUUAUUGCAAGCUGGGAAAAAUUGUUGACGCAAAAAGGAUACUUAGGGUGAUGGAAACUGAAGGAGUUAAACCUAACACAACAACAAACAGUGUCUGUGCCCUGAUAGACACUUAUUGUAAGCAAGGAAAUUUCAUCGAAGCAAAAACGACAUUUAGUGAGAUUGGAACUAAGCCUAACACAAUAAUAUACACUGCCCUGAUAGAUGGUUAUUGCAAGGUGCGAAAUCCUGCUAAAGCUGAAAAGGAACUUAUUGAGAUGGAAACUAAGGGAGUUAGCCUAACACGGUAACGUAUACUGCCAUGAUAGAUAGUUGUUGCAAGGUGGGAAAUAUUGCUAAAGCAAUAAAGGUACUUAUUGAGAUGGAAACUAAGGGAGUUAAGCCUAACACAGUAACGUACACUGCCCUGAUAGAUGGUUGUUGCAAGUGGGAAAUAUUGCUAAAGCAAUAAAAAUACUUAUUGAGAUGGAAAAUAAGCCUAACGCAAUUACUUACAAUGCUCUGAAGAUGGUUAUUGUAAGAAAGGUACGAUGAAAGAAGGUUUGAGAUGGAUACUAAGGGAGUUAAACCUAACACAAUUACUUACAAUGCCCUGAAGAUGGUUAUUGUAAGAAAGGUACGAUGAGAGAAGAUUUAAGGAUUGUCAUGAUGUCCAUACAUACACCUCUUAUAUUACAUUGAGAAUACAUAUCAGGAAAAGUAGAUGUUGCUUUGAAGCUUUUCAUCGAGAUUCCUACAAAGGGUUUAGUUCUGGAUGUGGUGAUUUUCAGAACGAUGAUUUCUGGCCUAUCAAAAAAUGGCAAAUCAAAUGAAGCCUUCAGAUUAUACAAUCUGAUGAUAGAGGCAAGCCUAACACUCGGUGUUGUUACAUACCAUGCACUUGUGGAUAUACUAACUUGUAAGUCAUUAAUUUCACAUAAGUCAGACCUAGCUAAUUGGAGGCAUAACAAAUUGUUUAGCACUUCUUCAUGGUGUUUUACUUGAGCAAACUGAAUUAUAUGGUGCAGGACAUCCUGCAGAAAUUUGGUGUUCCUAGCUUGUUACUGCAAAUCUUAGGUGUUGUCCAUGGACAUUGUCUGCCAUAAACUCAAGGUUGAUAGCGAUUUGAGACCCAAGAAAGAGCAAAACUGCAGCUCAGAAUUUAGCAGCUUGAUUUACUUCAUUUAGACAAUGAUCUAAGAAAACUGGAGAUAUAUAGCCUUAUGACUCUGUAAGUAUGCAAAUGACAUUACGAUAUAAAACUUGCUAUUAUUUGAAUCAACAUACUGUUGCCUUAAUAAAAAAUAUUUGAAUCAACCAUGAGAUUAAAUAACUGUGGGCUUUAAAGAUAAAUAUUGUUCAUUAUGAUGGGAAUUUACUUGCUUAGUGUGUAAUUUCAACUUUUGAGGCAUUUGGUUCAAAAUGUUCCGCUACAUGUUCAUUCUUAAAGCAACAGUAUUGCUUCUUAGGUCGUCUAGUACAUUAUUCUCUUGAAAAUGGAAGAACCAGAAUAAAAGAAGUGCGUUACUCUGGAGAUGUAUUACAAAUUUUAGGUUUUGUUACCUUUUUGGUUGAGUGGCCUAGCUUCUAAUCAUUUUUAUACGGUUAUAUGACCUAAAUUUUAACAUGUAAUAUAGAAGCUGGAUCCUUUUUAUGGCGGUCAUGUGAUUUAAUAGUCAGUUACCUUCAUUAGGAAGAAGAAGAAAAACAAAGUGACUACCUUGUUCCUUUUAUCAUUUUCUUGGAGUUCCAAUACAUAUAACUUCUUGCAGGGUGGGUCAAUUUACACCAGAACAAUCAUUUUUUGAAAGUCUUAACAAAAUUUUGCAAAGAAAGACUCUACUAGUCUUAUCUUGCCUACAAUACGAGAUUGACAACUAUCCCACAGGCCUGCCAUAGAUUUCUCAGUUAGUUGUUGCCUUGUAAAAUACUUUGGAUCAAGUUAUAGAAAACUUCCUUCCACUGCAGUAAGCCAGUACCUAACGUGUUUGAUCAAUUUCUGGACCAAUUCUUAAUAGUCCAAAAUCAAAAACUUUAGCCCUGAGAUUUUUAUCAAGCAAUAGGUUUGGAGAUUUGAUGUCAAAUCGGAUAAUUGUCUGGUGAAAAGUAUGAAGAUAAUGAAGUCCUCUGAGAGUUUCAGGCCUUUGCGUUCAAAUUUGGAAGGUCUGAGACAUACAAAUAAUCCUUAAAGAGUUCCAUUCACCAUUGUCAUAAGUAAUAAUCUUCUCAUUCUUUUCAUCGCAGUACCCAAUGAUAUACCUUUGCCAUUUUCCAACCUUAGUGAUACAUGUAUAUCCUACCUAUAUGUAGCAUCUAGAAUAGGUAACCACUCUACUUUAGUGUUACAUAAGACUCCUAUAAGAACAGAAGAUUACCUAAAUGAGUGUCUGGUUUCAUUUCAAUAUUCUAAAUCUGAUAUAGGGCAAAUUCAUUUUUUGCCGCCUCCGUAGCAAAAUUACAUAAUUAAAACACUCCUUCAAUCUGUGGCUAUAUACUGAGGUUAAGUCCUUAAUUUUCUCUCGAUACUUUAUUUGCAUUGAACUUCAUCCUUUAAUGUGGUUUCAAUAUUUGCUCGGCCUUUAUACGGGCUACACAGUUUAAAUUGCUCCUAUAACUCGAAAGUUCAGGCCAUCUCUUUGAAGUUCUUGACAAAUCAGGAUAUAGCGUAUAUACUAGAUUAUGUUGGCUACAUUGCACUAGGAUGAUCCCUCUAUCUAUUCAUACAUUAAUCCACAAAAUUAUUACAUGUCUACAUAAACUAGGUAUUUCUGUAGAGUUUAGCACUCUGUUUCAUCUGUCAAAAAUUGAAGCACCAGAUAACUAUACUUAUUUGUAUUGUUUGAUUGAUGUACAGUGAGUAAAUCUAUAUCUCCACUCAAAAGUUUAUAUUAUGUCCUCUGAUGCAGUAACUUCAAAGACAUUUCUGCAUUCAUAUGAGGACCAUUUUAGCUGCAUGUGCUCGAUCAUCAGUGGAGUACUAUGAAGUUCUCCUUCUGCAUUCCUCAUUUUCCUUACAAAGACUCAAGUCACCAACUUUCCUCUUUUUCUGAAUUUGUGAAGACAAUUCGUAUCAGUCUGUUGAUACACUUAGCUUUUUCAGAUAGAGAGAAGAUUCAAUUACAGUUGAGUGGAAUGGGGAGUUGUAAACCUUGAAGAGAUUGUUGAAAGAGAAGUGUUGACGAAGAUACUGAGCUAUGAAAACGGCGAAAAUUUUCUCUCUAUCUGAAAAAGUUAAGUGUAUCAACACACUGAUACGAAUUAUCUUCACAAAUUCAGAAAAAAAGAGAAAAGUUGGAGACUUUGAGUCUUUGUAAGGAAAGUGAGGAAUGCAGAAGGAGAACUUCACAGUACUCCACUGAUGAUCGAGCACAUGCAGCUAAAAUGGUCCUCAUAUGAAUGCCAGAAAUGUCUUUGAAGGUACUGCAAAUUGCAUUAAAGGAUAUAAUCUAAACUUUUGAGAGGAGAUAUAGAUUUGCUCACUGUACAUCAAUCAAACAAUACGAAUAAGUAUGGUUAUCUGCUGCUUCAAUUUUUGACAAAUGAAACAGAGUGCUAAACUCUAUAGAAAUACCUAGUUUAUGCAGACAUGUAAUAAUUCCGUGGAGCAAUGUAUGAAUAGAUAGAGGGAUCAUCCUAGUGCAAUGUAGCCAAAAUAAUCUAGUAUAUACAUUAUAUCCUGAUUUGUCAAGAACUUCAAAGAGAUGGCCUGAAUUUUCGAGUUACAGGUGCAAUUUAAACUGUGUAGCCAGUAUAAAGGCCGAGCAAAUAUUGAAACCACAUUAAAGGAUGAAGUUCAAUGCAAAUGGAGUAUCGAGAGAAAAUUAAGGACUUAAGCUCAGUAUAUAGACACAGAUUGAAGGAGUGUUUUAAUUAUGGCCGAAGGAAGAUUUCUGAAUAUUUACCUAAAUAAUCACACUAAAGUCUAGGCAAAGUCGUGUGGACAACAAUGGAUUGAAAAAAAGAAUAUUAUCGCAAAAGUCAAACUAAAAACUGAUUCCAAGGGCUAGGGGGAAUGGGUUGUUCCCUUGGAAGAUCUCGUCUUUAGUGAGAGACAUUAUUCUAUUAGGAAAUGAGAUGCAAUUAGUUUCGUUUAUAAAUUCUAAUAAGGCAAUGUACUAGAUGAUGUUCUAGCUAACGAUGUCGUUGAUGCUCAAUAAUAUCUUUUAUUUAUGUAAUUUUGCUACGUAGGCGGCAAAAAAUGAAUUUGUCAUAUAUCAGAUUUAGAAUAUUGAAAUGAAACCAGACACUCAUUUAGGUAAUCUUCUGUUCUUAUAGGAGUCUUAUGUAACACUAAAGUAGAGUGGUUACCUAUUCUACAUGCUAGAUGCUACAUAUAGGUAGGAUAUACAUGUAUCACCAAGGUUGGAAAAUAGCAAAGGUAUAUCAUUGUGUACUCCGACGAAAAGAAUGAGAAGAUUAUUACUUAUGACAAUGGUGAAUGGAACUCUUUAAGGAUCAUCGGUAUGUCUCAAACUUUCCAAAUUUAAAUUUGAACGCAAAGGCUUGAAACUCGCAUAGGAUCAGAGGACUUCAUUAUCUUCAUACUUUGCAGCAAGCAAUCAUCCGCUUUGACAUCAAAUCUCCAAACCUAUUGCUUGAUAAAAAUCUCAGGGCUAAAGUUUUUGAUUUUGGACUAUCAAGAAUUGGUCCAGAAAUCAAUCAAACACGCUAGGUACUGGCUUACUGCAGUGGAAGGAAGUUUUCUAUAACUUGAUCCAGAGUAUUUUACAAGGCAACAACUAACUAAGAAAUCCAUGGCAGGCCUGUGGGGAUAGUUGUCAAUCUCGUAUUAUAGGCAAGAUAAGACUAGAGUCUUUGCAAAAUUUUGUUAAGACUUUCAAAAAAUGAUUGUUCUAGUGUAAAUUGACCCACCCUGCAAGAAGUUAUAUGUAUUGGAACUCCAAGAAAAUGAUAAAAGAACAAGCUAGUCACUUUGUUUUUCUUCUUCUUCCUAAUGAAUGAAACUGACUGUUAAAUCACAUGAUAGCCAUAAAAAGGUGAUCCAGCUUCUAUAUUACAUGCUAAAAUUUAGGUCAUAUAACCGUAUAAAAAUGAUUAGAAGCUAGGCCACUCAACCAAAAAAGUAACAAAACCUAAAAUUUGUAAUACAUCUCCACCAGCAUCUCCAGAGUAACAAACUUCUUUUAUUCUGGUUCUUCCAUUUUCAAGAGAAUAAUGUACUGGACGACCUAGGAAGCAAUACUGCUUUAAGAACGAACAUGUAGCGGAACAUUUUGAACCAAAUGCCUCAAAAGUUGAAAUUACACACUAAGCAAGUGAAUUCCCAUCAUGACUUCGUAAUGAACAAUAUUUAUCUUUAAAGCCCACAGUUAUUUAAUCUCAUGGUUGAUAUUUCAUGUUGAUUCAAAUAUUUUUUAUUAAGGUAACAGUAUGUUGAUUCAAAUAAUAGCAAGUUUUAUAUUGUCAUCUGCAUACUUACAGAGUCAUAGGGCUAUAUAUCUCCAGUUUUCUUAGAUCAUUGUCUAAAUGAAGUAAAUCAAGCAGCUAAAUUCUGAGAUGCAGUUUUGCUCUUUCUUGGGUCUCAAAUCGCUAUCAACCUUGAGUUUAUGGCAGACAAUGUCCAUGGACAACACUAAGAUUUGCAGUAACAAGCUAGGAACUCCAAAUUUCUGCAGGAUGUCCUGCACCAUAUAAUUCAAUUUGCUCAAGUAAAACACCAUGAAGAAGUGCUAAACAAUCUGUUAUGCCUCCAAUUAGUUAGGUCUGACUUAUGUGAAGUUAAUGACUUACAAGUUAGUAUAUCCACAAGUGUAGGGUAUGUAACAACACCGAGUGUUAGGCCUGCCUCUAUUAUCUGAUUGUAUAAUCUGAAGGUUUCAUUUGAUCUGCCCUCUUUUGAUAGGCCAGAAAUCAUCGUUCUGAAAGUCACCACAUCCAGAACUAAACCCUUUGUAGGAAUCUCGAUGAAAAGCUUCACAGCAACAUCUACUUUUCCUGAUAUGCAUUCCCGAUGUAAUAUAAGAUGUGUAUGUAUAGACAUCUGGGACAUCAUGACAAUCCUUAAACCUUCUCUCAUCGUACCUUUCUUACAAUAACCAUCUACAGUGCAUUGUAAGUAAUUGUGUUAGGUUUAACUCCCUUAGUAUCCAUCUCAAAUCUUCUUUCAUCGUACCUUUCUUACAAUAACCAUCUUCAGGGCAUUGCAAGUAAUUGCAUUAGGCUUAAAUCCUUUAUUUUCCAUCUCAAUAAGUAUUUUUAUUGCUUUAGCAAUAUUUCCCACCUUGCAACAACCAUCUAUCAGGGCAGUGUACGUUACUAUGUUAGGCUUCACUCCCUUAGUUUCCAUCUCAAUUAGUAUCUUUAUUGCUUUAGCAAUAUUUCCCACCUUGCAACAACCAUCUAUCAGGGCAGGAUACGUUACCGUGUUAGGCUUAACUCCCUUAGGUUCCAUCUCAAUAAGUACCUUUUCAGCUUUAGCAAGAUUUCGCACCUUGCAAUAACCAUGUAUCAGGGCAGUGUACGUUACUGUGCUAGGCGUAACUCCCUUAGUUCCAAUCUCACUAAAUACCGUUUUUGCUUCAAUGAAAUUUCCCUACUUGCAAUAACCGUCUAUCAGGGAACUGGCACUGUUUGUUGUUGUGUUGGGCUUAACUCCUUCAAUUUCCAUCACCCUAAGUAUCCUUUUUGCGUCAACAAUUUUUCCCAGCUUGCAAUAACCAUCUACUAGUGUAGUGUAUGUUGUCGUGUUAGGCUUAGUUUCCAUCUCAAUAAGUGUCCUUCUUGCUUCCACAAAAUUUCCCUACUUGCAAUAAAUAUCGAUCAAAGUUGUAUAACUAAUUGUAUCUAGAGCUACACCUCGAUCCACCAUUGAGAGCAACAACAUUUUUGCUUCAUCAUACAAUUCUAGCUUAAGCAGGCCCGUAGCAAUUAUAUUGUAAGCAUUUGCAUCAGGCUGAUGUCCUUCACCCUCCAUAAUUGUCUGUAGCCUCAGUGCUUCAUCCACAUUACCUUUCUUACAGUAACCAUCCAUCAUCGUAUUAAAUAUGACCCGGUCUAUGCUAAUGCCCUUGCCUUGCAUCUCAUUUUAGCAAAACUUCAGCUCCUUGCAUUAGUCCAGCCUUGCAGAAGACAUUUAUCAAUGCUCCAUACGUGUGAACAUCAGGAAUGAGGCCUCUCUCCACCAUUUCAACAAACGUUGAAAAUGCCUUCAUAACAUUACCUAACUUACUAUAACCACUAAUCAUGGAGGUGCAUAAAUGAACAUUUGGCUCUAUACCCUCUUUUCUAUUCCUUAAACAACCUCUCAACCUCUACAAGAUCGCCAAAAGUUGAAUAUCCUUUAAUCAGAAGCGUAUAACUAGUCAGAUUGAGAUCAAACCAUCUUUCUCGAUUUUCCUCAAAAUCUCCUUUACAACCACAAAAUCUUGUAUCUUCAUAUAUGCUUGUAACAAUAUGUUAGAAGUGUAAUCACUUGGUUUCACCCUUUUACUAGCCAUUUCAUCCAUGAGUUUUCUAGCCUCACAAACCUCCCCCAUUUUACACAAUCCAUCAACUACCACCGUCAUCGAAUAAACUGUAAUUUUCACAUUAAAUUCAACCAUCUUAUGGAAAAACUCGAACAACGAGUCAUAUUGCCUUUGCCUUUUCAUAGAAAGCAAGUAAACCAUACAAGCUCUAUCAUCAAUUCUAAAGCGCCUUUUUUCAUAUAAUCAAAAACUUAUAGAGCUUCAGUAAACCUCAUGUAAUUAACAUAAACACUAAAUAACAUAUUAAACAUCUUCCCUAUAACCUUACACUUUACAUGAUUCUCAUUCAACAAAGAAGCUAUUUUUGAAUCUGGUUUCCUCAGACCAUCAGUAACAACAACAGCAUUCAAUAUAUUCUCAGCUUCAGCAAACUCCUUGGAUUUUAACAAGUCUAGAAACACGGCUAAAUGGGUUUCAAGAUUGGGACUUUGCUUGAAAUUGAAGAAAUUUGAGCAAGAAGAAGAGGAAGGGGGAAAUAGGGAGAUUAAUUUGGCAAUUUCUUUAAUUGGUCUAUUGGGAAAUCGUUGUUUUACCGGUUGAUAAACCUUUUGAGUCGACAUGUGAAUAACAACUCAAUACCUAUAAACUUGAGCAGUGCAAUUUGAAAUUUUCAUUUCUGAACUUUAGAAAUAUAGGUUACCUCUAUUUUGCCCUUGCUGGAAGAUGUUGAAAGGAGUCAAAAGAAGAAUUGUUUUCGACUGUUCAUUGCCAGUGCUACUUCGUUAGCCUCGUAGUGAGUUGCUUUAACAUUAGCUAGUUUCAUUCUUUGUUGUAUCUCCUCAAUAAUGAAAUUCAGCUUGUAGUUGGAUUGCUGGUUGUUCACAAUCAUCGGAAAUAGGAUCAAAGAGUCUGUAUCUUUGGUGAAGUUCUUCAGAUUUUUCAGAAGGCAGAGGCUUAGUCCAUAACUGGCAGCCUUAGCUUCUGCUUAUGUGCUGCUGCAACAACUCGAAGGUGAGCAGAAAACCAAGAUGAGAUUGCCUCUAUCAUCCCUCGAAACUCCCCUCAUAACAGAUUUUCCACUAGCUGAGCAGUAGCUUCCGUAAGUUUUCAAUUUAAGGAUGCCAUUUUCAGGGAACUUCCAGCAUACAAUAGAAAGGUAUGAGAAAGGUUCCAGCUGCACAAAUUUUUCACAAAGAGUGAUCCAAAGUAAUGUCAAACCAACUUUUGGAUAAGCUUUAGCAAUUGUACUCUGAAUGCUGCAGCCAAUGUGUUGGAUCAUCAUAUAUCUGUUGAAAUUCCUUAAGCCUCCAUAAUUACUACACUCGGACCUUUGUUUCAAAAUCUCCAAACAGAUAAGGCCUGGUAUAGUUUGAAGAACUAGCUUGUCGAUGGAGUUAUUUGAUUUUUGAUUCCACCAGUUGUAAGUUCUGAUUGCCAGUGGCCCUCCAAAGUGCUUCCACACAUAUUGAGCUGCCUCUCCAUGAAGAAAAACAUGUUGCAUUUGAUUUUCAUUUUAGGAAGAGAGCAGCAGUUGCAUAGAGUAUCCUUCAGAAUACCAAAUCUGCUAAUGACUUCGUCAAAAGAAAGUUCACUGCCAGAAUUUCCAAACGAAAAAUGAAAUCUAAAAAGGAAUGUUGGAGUUCCAUACCUGAUCAAUAUUGUGGUCUGUUGGAAUAUUUCCCAUCUUCUGUGAGGUCCCAAAAGACCUUGUCUUGAGUGUCAUACUUGCCAAUUCCAAUGGUCUUGAUCUGUUGAAUUGUGCUAUCUCAUAGGAUGUUCUGCAUCUUUGCAUUGCCCCAAGUUCCAUUAUUAAUGAAAUGUCUUACUAGAGUCUCGGUAUUCUUCUCUGUUUCAUGGUAAUCAUUGGCUAGAGGACCUUUGCUACUCCAGUUGUCCCGCCAAAAAACUACAAUUUCCAGAAGGGUAGUAAUCAGAAAAGAAAAUUGUGGAGAUAGUAUAAAUCAAGUAUUGGUGUUGUCAAAGACUCAGAAGCGAGGUGCAUAACAGUUCGAGUGCUUCACCCUCACUUAGUUGGCGCUUCAGUGCAGCCACAAAGGUACUAAAGCAUACACCUUAUCACCAAUGGGCUUUAUCCUUGCACGUAAAUUUCUAAAUUCUUUUAUCCUUACUAUAAUUUUCAUUUGUACUUGCAAUUAUUAUUCGUCAAUUACAUUUGUUUCAUUUUACUUUAUCCUUCAUUUCCACAUUUCCAACUAAGUCCAUGCUUUAACUGUCCUUUGCGUUUAAAGGCUUAAGUCCCACCAAAGCUUAAGUUUUUUCCCUUCGAUAACACUCUCAAAUAUAUCCAAAAUACUAACCAUGCAGAAUUUUCUCUUCUAUAUCCAACAAGCAAUGACUCUUAACCUUCAUAUGUUCAACAUGGAACUGAUAUCAAGUUACAAGUUACAAGUAUGGGGUCUACACCUAUAUACUGCACAUGAAGACUAAACUUUUCAACAAGCACAAGAUAUGGUCCUUAAUUUUAAUCCUUUUGACAUGCACAUGUACAUAUUAGAAUACAAACUUCAGACAUAAUAGAAGCAUUCUACAUCAAUAAACUAUACAAAAGCACACGUACAAUAGCUAAUGGUUUAACUCAGUGAAUUCCAGUUUAAUUAAAAAACAAUCUGCUAUAUAUACUUCUGACUGGCUAAAUCUAAUCCAAAUAAAGUUCACGAUGUACAAGUUUAUAGAGAAGAAUUUCUCACACUAAGUGCAGAGUAUGCAGCAGCAUCAUGUAUUACGCCUGCCUCUAUCAUCUGAUUGUAUAAUCGGAGGGCUUCACCUGAUCUGCCUUCUUUUGAUAAGCCAGAAAUCACUGCUGUAUAAGUCACAACAUUCGGAACUAAACCCUUUGUAGGCAUCUCAUUGAAAAGCUUCAGAGCAUCAUCUACCUUUCCUGAUUUGCAUUCCCCAUGUACAAGUGAGGUGUAUGUAUAGACGUUAGCUAUCAAGUCCUUAGAUUCCAUGACAAUUCUUAGCUUAUAAGCUUCAUUCAUUAUACCUUUCUGGCAAUAACCAUCUAUCAGUGCAGUGUAUGUCUUGGUGUUAGGCUUAACUCCGUUACUCUCCAUCUCAAGAAGUAUCCUUUUAGCUUUAACAAAAUCUCCUUGCUUACACUUAGUUUCCAUCUCAAUAAGUGCCCUUUUUGCUUCCACAAAAUUUCCCUGCUUGCAAUAAAUAUCGAUCAAAGUUGUAUAACUAAUUGUAUCUGGAGCUACACCUCGAUCCACCAUUGAGAGCAACAACAUUUUUGCUUCAUCAUACAAUUCUAGCUUAAGCAGGCCCGUAGCAAUUAUAUUGUAAGCAUUUGCAUCAGGCUGAUGUCCUUCACCCUCCAUAAUUGUCUGUAGCCUCAGUGCUUCAUCCACAUUACCUUUCUUACAGUAACCAUCCAUCAUCGUAUUAAAUAUGACCCGGUCUAUGCUAAUGCCCUUGCCUUGCAUCUCAUUUAGCAAAACUUCAGCUCCUUGCAUUAGUCCAGCCUUGCAGAAGACAUUUAUCAAUGCUCCAUACGUGUGAACAUCAGGAAUGAGGCCUCUCUCCACCAUUUCAACAAACGUUGAAAAUGCCUUCAUAACAUUACCUAACUUACUAUAACCACUAAUCAUGGAGGUGCAUAAAUGAACAUUUGGCUCUAUACCCUUCUUUUCUAUUUCCUUAAACAACCUCUCAACCUCUACAAGAUCGCCAAAAGUUGAAUAUCCUUUAAUCAGAAGUGUAUAACUAGUCAGAUUGAGAUCAAAACCAUCCUUCUCCAUUUUCCUCAAAAUCUCCUUUACAGCCACAAAAUCGUGUAUCUUUAUAUAUUCUUGUAACAGUAUGUUAUAAGUGUAAUCACUUGGUUUCACCCUUUUACUAGCCAUUUCAUCUACCAGCUUUCUAGCCUCACAAACCUCCCCCAUUUUACACAAUCCAUCAACUACCACCGUCAUCGAAUAAACUGUAAUUUUCACAUUAAACUCAACCAUCUUAUGGAAGAACUCGAACAACGAAUCAUAUUGCCUUUGCCUUUUCAUAGCAAGCAAGUAAACCAUACAAGCUCUAUCAUCAAUUCUAAAGCGCCCUUUUUUCAUAUAAUCAAAAACUUGUAGAGCUUCAGUAAACCUCAUGUUAUUAACAUAAACACUAAAUAACAUAUUAAACAUCUUCCCUAUAACCUUACACUUUACAUGAUUCUCACUCAACAAAGAAGCUAUUUUUGAAACUGGUUUCCUCAAACCAUCAGUAACAACAACAGCAUUCAAUAUAUUCUCGGCUUCAGCAAACUCCUUGGAUUUUAACAAGUCCACAACCAAGGCUAAAUGGGUUUCAAGAUUGGGACUUUGCUUGAAAUUGAAGAAAUUUGAGCAAGAAGAAGGAGAAGGGGGAAAGAAGGAGAUUAAUUUGGCAAGUUCUUUAAUGGGUCUCUUGGGAAAACGUUGUUUUACCGGUUGGUAAAAUUUUUGAGUCGACAUGUGAAGAACAACUCAAUACCUGUAAACUUGAGCAGUGCAAUUUGAAAUUUUCAUUUCUGAACUUCAGAAAUAAAGGUUACCUCUUAACACAAGUGCAGAUGCCAUGUUUUCCGGCGAGUUUCGGCGAGUUCCCGGCGAGUUCAGCAAAUUUAUAAAACUGUAGUGUGAAGCUUUUUAAGAGAAUUUAGAGAAGACGGCGUGAAGAACUUUGAUUGAAGUACAAAUGAAUCCUCAUAAAAUGUGUACAAAUUGACCCUCUAUAAUUUUAAGAAGUUAAAUUUAGUCCUCAUAUUUGACGUUUUGCUACUAAUUUGGUGCAAUUAUUCCUCUCCAAUCUCCAUCAACUCAAUUUCAAAUUUUACACCUCGUGGAACUUAAAUUUCUCAUUGAAUUUUAUUUAGACAUUUAAAUUAUAAUUUCUUCUAAUUGAAAAUUUGAACACAUAAUAAACGGAUAAAGUAUUCUUAAUAAGCACUUUCUAUUCAUAAUUGAGUUGAUUUCUCAUAUUGUUACUCAAUUAGUAGUUAUUAUCUCGUAAAGUCACUUUUUUUUUGUUGAAGAUAAAUGGAAUUAAAAAAAUAAUUGAGAUAAGUAUUAGUUAAAUGACCAUGUGGAACAAACACUUCAUAUUUUGGAAAAGUUUAUGUAUGUGAGAGUUUAUCACAUAAAUAAAUUAAUUACAUUAAAUAUAUCACCUCUUUUUAUCAUACACAUAAGCAUCAAUUGGAACAUAUACAAGGUGUGAUAGCUUAUUAAGGCUAAUGUAUGUAACUAAAGGAGGUGAUAUAUUUUAAAUAGUAAACUUAUUUAUUAUAAUGAACGCUUGAGAAUACGCACAAAAACUUCUUAAUUUUUAUUUAAUUAAAGUGUAGUAAAAACAAUUUAUCUUUAACAAGAAGACAUUUAAUUGAAUUUUACAUGAAAUAUUUUUCUUUAACCAUUAUAGUAUCUUAACAAUAUUAUCUCUUUCUAACAUUGAAAUCUUUGAAAUUGUGUUGGAGUAGUAAGUACUCUUUCAUCAUUAACCAAGAGGUCUCGGGUUCGAGUCGCCUUUGUUAGGAAGCAGUUUACCCCUAAUGUGGAACUUCCCAGCGCGAAUACGGAUUUAGUUGACCAUAUCAAUGUUUCAAAAUCCAUUCAAGUUUAGGUGAUACAAUAAAAAAGGCCAAAACUAAAAAUACAAGAAAUACAAUUCAUUAUAUUUAAUUUAGUUACUAAUCCAUGAUUUCCUCAUACCACAGCUUGGCCUUGCCUCACAAUACAACACAAGGAUAAAACACUUUACCCUUUGCAAAAGGAGGGUUAGGAGACUAAUAUCUACAAGUACUGGUUGUUCACAAUCAUAGGAAAUAGGUAGUUGGAUUACUGGUUGUUCACAAUCAUAGGAAAUAGGUUCAAAGAGUUUGUCUCUUUGGUGAAAUUCUUCAGAUUUUUCAAAAUGCAGAGGCUCUUAGUCCAAAACUGGCAGCCUUAGCUUCUGCUUCUGUGAUGCUGCUACCACUCGAAGGUGAGGAGAAAGCGAAGAUGAGAUUGCCUCUAUCAUCCCUCAAAACUCCCUUCAUACCAGAUUUUCCACUAGCUGAGCAGUAGCUUCCGUCAGUUUUCAAUUUAAUGACGCCAUUUUCAGGGAACUUCCAGCAUACAAUAGAAAGGUUUGAGGCAGGUUUCAGCUUCACAAAUUUUUCACAAAGAAUGAUCCAAAGUUAUGUCGAACCAACUUUUGGAUAAGCUUUAGCAAUUGUACUCUGAAUGCUGCACCCAAUGUGUUGGAUCAUCAUAUAUCUGUUGAGAUUCCUUAAGCCUCCAUAAUUACUACACUCGGACCUUUGAUUCUAAAUCUCCAAGCAGAUAAGGCCUGGUAUAGUUUGAAGAACUAGCUUGUCGAUGGAGUUAUUUGAUUUUUGAUUCCACUAGUUGUAAGUUCUGAUUGCCAGUGGCCCUCCAAAGUGCUUCCACACAUAUUGAGCUGCCUCUCCAUGAAGAAAAACAUGUUGCAUUUGAUUUUCAUUUUAGGAAGAGAGCAGCAGUUGCAUAGAGUAUCCUUCAGAAUACCAAAUCUGCUAAUGACUUCGUCAAAGGAAAGUUUUCACUGCCAGAAUUUCCAAACGAAAAAUGAAAUCUUAAAAGGAAUGUUGGAGUUCCAUACCUGAUCAAUAUUGUGGUCUGUUGGAAUAUUUUCCAUCUUCUGUGAGGUCCUAAAAGACCUUGUCUUGAGUGUCUUACUUGCCAAUUCCAAUGGUCUUGAUAUGCUGAAUUGUGCUAUCUCAUAGGAUGUUCUGCAUCUUUGCAUUGUCCCAAGUUCCAUUGGUAAUGAAAUGUCUUACUAGAGUCUCGGUAUUCUUCUCUGUUUCAUGGUAAUCAUUGGCUAGAGGACCUUUGCUACUCCAGUUGUCCCGUCAAAAACUACAAUUUCCAGAAGGGUAGUAAUCAGAAAAGAAAAUUGUGGAGAUAGUAUAAACCAAGUAUUGGUGUUGUCAAAGACUCAGAAGAGAGGUGCAAAACAGUUCGAGUGCUUCACCCUCACUUAGUUGGCGCUUCAGUGCAGCCACAAAGGUACUAAAGCACACACCUUAUCACCAAUGGGCUUUAUCCUAAAGAGACGACACUAAACAAUGACUUACACAUAAAUUUCUAAAUUCUUUUAUCCUUACUAUAAUUUUCAUUUGUACUUACAAUUAUUAUUCGUAAAUUACAUUCGUUUCAUUUUACUUUAUCCUUCAUUUCCACAUUUUCAACUAAAGUCCAUGCUUUAACUGUCCUUUGCGUUUAAAGGCUUAAGUCCCACCCAAAGCUUAACUUUUUUCCCUUCGAUAACACUCUCAAAUAUAUCCAAAAUACUAACCAUGCAGAAUUUUCUCUUCUAUAUCCAACAAGCAAUGGCUCUUAACCUUCAUAUUUUCAACUUGCAACUGAUAUCAAGUUACAACUUACAAGUAUGGGGUCUACUACACCUAUAUACAUGUGCUUUUGUAUAUUUUACUGUUGUAGAAUGCUUCUAUUAUGUCUAGAGUUUGUAUUCUAAUAUGUACAUGUGCAUGUCAAAAGGAUUAAAAUUAAGAACCAUAUCUUGUGCUUGUUGAAAAGAGAAGAUAUUUUCAACAUGCAAGUGAUAUCAAGUUACAACUUACAAGUAUGGGGUCUACUACUAUAUACUGCACAUGAAGACUUCUCUUUUCAACAACCACAAGAUAUGGUCCUUAAUUUUAAUCCUUUGGACAUGCACAUGUACAUAUUAGAAUAAAACUCUAGACAUAAUAGAAGCAUUCUACAACAAUAAAAUAUACAAAAGCACAUGUAUAUAGGUGUAGUAGACCCCAUACUUGUAAGUUGUAACUUGAUAUCACUUGCAUGUUGAAAAUAUCUUCUCUUUUCAACAAGCACAAGAUAUGGUUCUUAAUUUUAAUCCUUUUGACAUGCACAUGUACAUAUUAGAAUACAAACUCUAGACAUAAUAGAAGCAUUCUACAACAGUAAAAUAUACAAAAGCACAUGUAUAUAGGUGUAGUAGACCCCAUACUUGUAAGUUGUAACUUGAUAUCACUUGCAUGUUGAAAAUAUCUUCUCUUUUCAACAAGCACAAGAUAUGGUUCUUAAUUUUAAUCCUUUUGACAUGCACAUGUACAUAUUAGAAUACAAACUCUAGACAUAAUAGAAGCAUUCUACAACAGUAAAAUAUACAAAAGCACAUGUAUAUAGGUGUAGUAGACCCCAUACUUGUAAGUUGUAACUUGAUAUCACUUGCAUGUUGAAAAUAUCUUCUCUUUUCAACAAGCACAAGAUAUGGUUCUUAAUUUUAAUCCUUUUGACAUGCACAUGUACAUAUUAGAAUACAAACUCUAGACAUAAUAGAAGCAUUCUACAACAGUAAAAUAUACAAAAGCACAUGUAUAUAGGUGUAGUAGACCCCAUACUUGUAAGUUGUAACUUGAUAUCACUUGCAUGUUGAAAAUAUCUUCUCUUUCUUGCAAUAAAUAUCGAUCAAAGUUGUAUAACUAAUUGUAUCUGGAGCUACACCUCGAUCCACCAUUGAGAGCAACAACAUUUUUGCUUCAUCAUACAAUUCUAGCUUACGCAGGCCCGUAGCAAUUAUAUUGUAAGCAUUUGCAUCAGGCUGAUGUCCUUCACCCUCCAUAAUUGUCUGUAGCCUCAGUGCUUCAUCCACAUUACCUUUCUUACAGUAACCAUCCAUCAUCGUAUUAAAUAUGACCCGGUCUAUGCUAAUGCCCUUGCCUUGCAUCUCAUUUAGCAAAACUUCAGCUCCUUGCAUUAGUCCAGCCUUGCAGAAGACAUUUAUCAAAGCUCCAUAUGUGUGACCAUCAGGAAUGAGGCCUCUCUCCACCAUUUCAACAAACGUUGAAAAUGCCUUCAUAACAUUACCUAACUUACUAUAACCACUAAUCAUGGAGGUGCAUAAAUGAACAUUUGGCUCUAUACCCUUCUUUUCUAUUUCCUUAAACAACCUCUCAACCUCUACAAGAUCGCCAAAAGUUGAAUAUCCUUUAAUCAGAAGUGUAUAACUAGUCAGAUUGAGAUCAAAACCAUCCUUCUCCAUUUUCCUCAAAAUCUCCUUUACAGCCACAAAAUCUAGUAUCUUCAUAUAUGCUUGUAACAAUAUGUUAUAAGUGUAAUCACUUGGUUUCACCCUUUUACUAGCCAUUUCAUCCAUGAGCUUUCUAGCCUCACAAACCUUCCCCAUUUUACACAAUCCAUCAACUACCACCGUCAUCGAAUAAACUGUAAUUUUCACAUUAAACUCAACCAUCUUAUGGAAAAACUCGAACAACGAAUCAUAUUGCCUUUGCCUUUUCAUAGCAAGCAAGUAAACCAUACAAGCUCUAUCAUCAAUUCUAAAGCGCCCUUUUUUCAUAUAAUCAAAAACUUGUAGAGCUUCAUUAAACCUCGUGUUAUUAACAUAAACACUAAAUAGCAUAUUAAACAUCUUCCCUCUAACAUUACACUUUACAUGAUUCUCACUCAACAAAGAAGCUAUUUUUGAAACUGGUUUCCUCAUACCAUCAGUAACAACAACAGCAUUCAAUAUAUUCUCUGCUUCAGCAAACUCCUUGGAUUUUAACAAGUCUACAACCACGGCUAAAUGGGUUUCAAGAUUGGGACUUUUCUUGAAUUUGAAGAAAUUUGAGCAAGAAGAAGGAGAAGGGGGAAAGAGGGAGAUUAAUUUGGCAAUUUCUUUAAUGGGUCUAUUGGGAAAACGUUGUUUUAUCGGUUGGUAAAACUUUUGAGUCGACAUGUGAAGAAUAACUCAAUACCUAUAAACUUGAACAGUGCAAUUUGAAAUUUUCAUUUCUGAACUUCAGAAAUAUAGGUUACCUCUAUUAACGCAACUGGACAUACCCUGUUUUACGUCGAGCUGGAAAUAUCCUGUUUUCCGGCGAGCUGGAGAUGCCCUGUUUUCCGGCGAGCUUCGGCGAGUUUCCGGCGAGCUGGGCGAGUUAACAAAAUUGUAAUUUGAAGCUUUUAAGAGAACUUGGAGAAGACUGCUGUGAAGAAUUUUGAUUGAAUUACAAAUGAGGUCUCAUAAAAGGUAUACAAAUUGACCCUCUAUACUUUUAAAAAGUUAUAUUUAGUCCUCAUAUUUGACGUUUUGCUACUAAUUUGGUCCAAUUAUUCCUCUCCGUCAACUCAAUUUCAAAUUUAGCACCUCAUGCAACUUAAUUUUGUCAUUGUUUUAUUUAGACAUUUAAAUUAUAAUUUAUUCUAAUUAAAAAUUUGAACACAUGAUAAACGGAUAAAAUAUUCUUAAUAAGCACUUUCUAUUCAUAAUAGAGUUGAUUUCUCAAAUUGUUACUCAAUUAAUAGUUAUUCUCUCAUAAAAUAACUUUUUUCUUUGUUGAAGAUGAAUGAAUUUUUUUUAAAAAUAAUUUUUAAGAUAAUAACUAUUAAUUAAAUGACCUUGUGGAAUAAACCCUUUCAUAUUUUGGAAAAGUGUAUGUAUGUGUUCAUAAGAGUCUAUCACAUAAAUAAAUAAAUUACAUUAAAUGUAUCUCCUCUUUUUAUUAUACACAUAAGCAUCAAAUGGAACUUAUACAAGGUGUUGUAGCUUCUUAUAAUGAUCGAGAAUACGCACAAAAACUUGUUAAUUUUAUUUAAUUAAAAGUGUCUAGUAAAAACACUUUAUCUUUAACAUGAAGACAUUUCAUUGAAUUUUACAUUAUAUUAUCUCUUUCUUACAUUGAAAUCUUUGGAAUAUGCAUAUUUAUCACAAUAUAAAAUUAACAUUUAUCCAAAUAGAAAGGCCCUUUUGCCCUUAGCUUGUUUCAUUCUUUGUUAUAUCUCCUCAAUAAUGAAAUUCAGCUUGUAGUUGGAUUGCUGGUUGUUCACAACCAUCGGAAAUAGGAUCAAAGAGUCUGUCUAUUUGGUGAAGUACUUCAGAUUUUUCAGAAGGCAGAGGCUUAAGUCCAUAACUGGCAGCCUUAGCUUCUGCUUAUGUGCUGCUGCAACAACUCGAAGGUGAGGAGAAAGCCAAGAUGAGAUUGCCUCUAUCACCCCUCAAAACUCCCCUCAUACCAGAUUUUCCACUAGCUGAGCAGUAGCUUCCGUCAGUUUUCAAUUUAAGGACGCCAUUUUCAGGGAACUUCCAGCAUACAAUAGAAAG
rnacentral:lncRNA from 1 species